rnacentral:rRNA from 1 species
UACGUAGGGUGCGAGCGUUGUCCGGAAUUAUUGGGCGUAAAGAGCUCGUAGGCGGUGUGUCGCGUCGGCCGUGAAAACCUGCAGCUUAACUGUGGGCUUGCGGUCGAUACGGGCAGGCUGGAGUUCGGUAGGGGAGACUGGAAUUCCUGGUGUAGCGGUGAAAUGCGCAGAUAUCAGGAGGAACACCGGUGGCGAAGGCGGGUCUCUGGGCCGAUACUGACGCUGAGGAGCGAAAGCGUGGGGAGCGAACAGG